CUGGGCAGAGGGAUCCUCCUCCUGUGACCACAGAACACAGGAAUGAAUCUGUGGAGCAUUUUGAGGAUCGCUGCAGCAGCCUGGAGGAGAUGUCUGAGGAUGCUGAAGAAGGAAGAUGGAAAACUCAAGUCUCACAAACUCACUUUAAUGUCAGAGUGGUUAAAACUCUCUUGUGCUUUGUAGCCAAUCUUGGUGGAGCACACCUCUUGCUUGAAUGCAGCUAAGUCUCUGCAUGAUGGAAAUAAAGUGGACUAUGACCAUCUAACCGUAUCGGUGAACCAAGAGUCGUUG